rnacentral:rRNA from 1 species
UAAGACGUAGGAGACGAGCGUUAUCCGGAUUUACUGGGCGUAAAGCGCGUGCAGGCGGCUCGUUAAGUUGGAUGUGAAAGCCCCUGGCUAAACUAGGGGAGGUCGUUCAAGACUGGCGGGCUAGAGUGCAGCAGAGGAGAGUGGAAUUCCGAGUGUAGCGGUAAAAUGCACAGAUAUUCGGAAGAACACCAGAGGCGAAGGCGGCUCUCUGGGCUGCAACUGACGCUCAGACGCGAAAGCUAGGGGAGCGAACGGGAUUAGAGACCCCGGUAGUCCUAGCCGUAAACGAUGUGGACUUGGCGUGGGGAGGGUAAAGCCUGUCCGUGCCGAAGCAAACGCGAUAAGUCCACCGCCUGGGGACUACGGCCGCAAGGUUAAAACUCAAAGGAAUUGACGGGGGCCCGCAC